rnacentral:rRNA from 1 species
AGUGAGCGCUGGCGGUAGGCCUAACACAUGCAAGUCGAACGGCAGCACAGUAAGAGCUUGCUCUUACGGGUGGCGAGUGGCGGACGGGUGAGGAAUACAUCGGAAUCUACUUUUUCGUGGGGGAUAACGUAGGGAAACUUACGCUAAUACCGCAUACGACCUACGGGUGAAAGCAGGGGAUCUUCGGACCUUGCGCGAUUGAAUGAGCCGAUGUCGGAUUAGCUAGUUGGCGGGGUAAAGGCCCACCAAGGCGACGAUCCGUAGCUGGUCUGAGAGGAUGAUCAGCCACACUGGAACUUAGACACGGUCCAGACUCCUGCGGGGAGCAGCAGUGGGGAAUAUUGGGCAAUGGGCGCAAGCCUGAUCCAGCCAUACCGCGUGGGUGAAGAAGGCCUUCGGGUUUUAAAGCCCUUUUGUUGGGAAAGAAAAGCAGCAGGUUAAUACCCCGCUGUUCUGACGGUACCCAAAGAAUAAGCACCGGCUAACUUCGUG